UGGGAUGUAGCUCAGUGGUAGAGCACUCAUUUAGCAUGUGUGGGGUCCUGGGUUCGGUUCCCAGCAACACUG
rnacentral:tRNA from 1 species